rnacentral:rRNA from 1 species
GAAAAGUAGAUCGCAUGAUCAGCUUUUUAAAAAAGGCGGCGUAAGCUGUCGCUAUGGGAUGGCCCGCGGUGCAUUAGCUAGUUGGUAAGGUAACGGCUUACCAAGGCGAUGAUGCGUAGCCGAGUUGAGAGACUGAUCGGCCACAUUGGGACUGAGACACGGCCCAAACUCCUACGGGAGGCAGCAGUAGGGAAUCUUCCACAAUGGACGCAAGUCUGAUGGAGCAACGCCGCGUGAGUGAAGAAGGUUUUCGGAUCGUAAAGCUCUGUUGUUGGUGAAGAAGGAUAGAGGUAGUAACUGGCCUUUAUUUGACGGUAAUCAACCAGAAAGUCACGGGCUAACUACGUGCCAGCAGCCGCGGUAAAU